CAAAAACCCUCAGGUAUCUCCAAAGCAAGCCGCCGAUCAAAGAACAACCUUGACUUCCCUCACGACCAGGAGAAGAACAAAGCAGGCUAAGAACAGACGAGGGUCCAUUCAAAUAAGACUGUCAAGAGAACGGGACUAAAGAAAUCGAUGCAUACCCAAUAAGAAGACGAUGAGGAGAGCCCUGAAGAGGAGUUUCCCAUGGUAAUCAUCCAUUUCUUCCGCUGUUAUAAUCUCCCUCUACGACGACGACGGGGGAGGAGGCGCCGCAUAGGGUGAAUAGGGCCGAAUAUUUUAAUGGUUUAUAGCGUGGGGAAGAAGAAGCGGAUGGGGAAGAAGGAAGGGAUGGGGAAGGAAUACUUGGGGAUGAAUCCAAGAGUCGAACAGAGCUACCUUGCUUCAGUGAAGGGAGGAGCAGGGUGUGGAUUCUUCUUCCUCCUCUCCUCCAUCUCUCUCUGCUUUCUCCUCUGCUACGUUGACUCCUUUCCCACGGAACGAGGCAGGUUCUGCUGGCCCCCGCCGUGCCUGCUCUCAUUUGUGUUGCUUUCCUGGGCCUUCGGUGGCCAUUAAAGGAGCUAAGCCGAGGCGGACACGCAUCCAUACAUCUUUUCCAGAGAAAGGCCCGUCAUCGAGUGCCCUCUUUCCACAAUAUGGGCGUACAUACGUUCUAUCUUAAUUCAAACUCAAAUCCAUAAUAUUUUCUUACCUAAAUCUUAUAAUUAAUAGAUUUCUCUUACGUAACUCCAAAAUCUAAUUUAGAUUUCUCGUUUCUUGUAAUCUAACAGUUGGCCUUUAGCAUCGCCUCCUCUUCUUCCCAUCGAUGAUUGGUGCUGCGAAGAACAGGCAAACGGUAAAGACGACCGGAGUUCGAUGCUCGAAACGAACAAAAUAGGCGCCCGCAGUGCGGUCCGCCGCUGCACCCAUUAGCUCAAAAGCCACAGGCAGUAAUAAAGGCCAAGAAGAUAAAGCCACGUCGUACGACAACAACCCUUCUUCUUCUUCUUUCUUUGGAUCCUACAUGUGACAUAUAUACAUGUAUCUGUGGAGGAUGUGUUGUUCCUCGAGUUCUUAGCGUUGUUAUGACUCUUUGGAUCAAGCAAUGGGUAAUCGAG
rnacentral:lncRNA from 1 species